UACGUAGGGAGCAAGCGUUGUUCGGAUUUACUGGGCGUAAAGGGCGCGUAGGCGGCAGAUCAAGUCAGUUGUGAAAUCUCUGAGCUUAACUCAGAACUGUCAACUGAUACUGCUCUGCUAGAGUGCGGAAGGGGCAAUCGGAAUUCUUGGUGUAGCGGUGAAAUGCGUAGAUAUCGAGAGGAACACCUGAGGUGAAGACGGGUUGCUGGGCCGACACUGACGCUGACAGCGCGAAAGCCAGGGAGCAAACGGG
rnacentral:rRNA from 1 species